rnacentral:rRNA from 1 species
GAUGAACGCUAGCGGCAGGCUUAACACAUGCAAGUCGAGGGGCAGCGGGAGUAGCAAUACUUGCCGGCGACCGGCGCAAGGGUGCGUAACGCGUGAGUAACAUACCUAUAACAGGGGGAUAAUCCGGAGAAAUUCGGCCUAAUACCCCGUAGUGACAUUAGGGAGCAUUUUUUAGUGUUAAAAGUUUAGGCGGUUAUAGAUUGGCUCGCGUAACAUUAGUUAGUUGGUGUGGUAACGGCAUACCAAGGCGACGAUGUUUAGGGGUUCUGAGAGGAAGGUCCCCCACACUGGAACUGAGACACGGUCCAGACUCCUACGGGAGGCAGCAGUGAGGAAUAUUGGACAAUGGGCGGGAGCCUGAUCCAGCCAUGCCGCGUGCAGGAAGAAGGUUCUAUGGACUGUAAACUGCUUUUAUCAGGGAGCAAUAAGGACUACGCGUAGUUUGAUGAGAGUACCUGAUGAAUAAGCAUCGGCUAACUCCGUGCCAGCAGCCGCGGUAAUACGGAGGAUGCGAGCGUUAUCCGGAUUUAUUGGGUUUAAAGGGUGCGUAGGCUGCUUUAUAAGUCAGUGGUGAAAUGCUAUGGCUUAACUGUAGAAUUGCCAUUGAUACUGUAUAGCUAGGAAUUAGUUGAAGUAGGCGGAAUGUGUGGUGUAGCGGUGAAAUGCAUAGAUAUCACACAGAACACCGAUAGCGAAGGCAGCUUACUAAGCUAUAUUUGACGCUGAGGCACGAAAGUGUGGGGAUCGAACAGGAUUAGAUACCCUGGUAGUCCACACAGUAAACGAUGAUAACUAGUUGUAGGUAGGCAUAUCUAUCUGUGAUCAAGCGAAAGCGAUAAGUUAUCCACCUGGGGAGUACGGCCGCAAGGCUGAAACUCAAAGGAAUUGACGGGGGCCCGCACAAGCGGAGGAACAUGUGGUUUAAUUCGAUGAUACGCGAGGAACCUUACCCGGGCUCGAACGGCUAUAGGAUAAUAUAGAGAUAUAUUAGCCAGCAAUGGUUAUAGUCGAGGUGCUGCAUGGUUGUCGUCAGCUCGUGCCGUGAGGUGUCGGCUUAAGUGCCAUAACGAGCGCAACCCUUGUUGUUAGUUGCCAACGGAUAAAGCCGGGGACUCUAGCAAGACUGCCAGCGUAAGCUGCGAGGAAGGGGGGGAUGACGUCAAAUCAGCACGGCCCUUAUGUCCGGGGCGACACACGUGUUACAAUGGGAGGUACAGCGGGAUGCUACCUGGUGACAGGAUGCCAAUCUCGAAAGCCUUUCGUAGUUCGGAUUGGAGUCUGCAACUCGACUCCAUGAAGUUGGAUUCGCUAGUAAUCGCGCAUCAGCCAUGGCGCGGUGAAUACGUUCCCGGGCCUUGUACACACCGCCCGUCAAGCCAUGGAAGCUGGGGGUGCCUAAAGGUCGUAACCGCAAGGAGCGGUCUAGGGCAAAACCGGUAACUAGGGC